AGAGGCCCUCCAUGGCUGGGGUGGAAUGCUUGCCUCAUCGCCACGGCAAUGAAGCAAGCAUUCCACCUGGCCGCUCACACUGCCCGC
rfam:Myotis davidii contig207680, whole genome shotgun sequence.